rnacentral:rRNA from 1 species
UACAGAGGUCCCAAGCGUUGUUCGGAUUCAUUGGGCGUAAAGGGUGCGUAGGCGGCGCGGUAAGUCGGGUGUGAAAUCUCGGAGCUUAACUCCGAAACUGCAUUCGAUACUGCCGUGCUUGAGGACUGGAAAGGAGACUGGAAUUUACGGUGUAGCGGUGAAAUGCGUAGAUAUCGUAAGGAAGACCAGUGGCGAAGGCGGGUCUCUGGGCAUGUCCUGACGCUGAGGAGCGAAAGUGUGGGGAGCGAACAGG